UGGCUCUGAGUCUAACUCCCAUUCUCUCAAGAAAGGAAAGUGAACCAUCUUGGCAGGAAUAAUUUCCCUGGGCUCCAAGGGCCUGAGAUCUACCAGGAGAUCAUGGCCUACCAGGAGAGGGCCCUGUCUCACAUGCUUAGUUUGGGUGAGAAUCAGGUUGUACCACAACACGAGCCUCACGGCCAGUUGCAUAAUUGGAUAUGUAAUCAGUACCUUCAAGAACUUCAGCCAAAAACACUCCUGACACCACUUCGAUCUUGCUGAAUCAACUCCAAACCCCAUGACUGGAUGAUUCACUGGUCUCCUCUGGGGUCAUGACUAUCAGGUGCUGACCCAGGAAUUAAAUUCAUAAGGGGAAAGAUCCACUAGUUGGAACUCUGGUUUUUCCAGUGCUUCAACCUACUGCUCCUUGGGUUUCCAAGCAGUGAUGGAGGCCAUGUUGGUCUCUUCCUUAUCAAUCCAAACAAACUGAAGAUAACCAGAGACCAACUAGAUAAGAUAGGGAGCUACCAUUUGGGAAGAAAUCAACCAGGAAUGAUUAAAAAACAAAAACUUACAAAACCACAACCUCUUAUCAUAAUUCUAAAAUCCAAAAACCACUGAAAACUGUUUUUUUUUCUUUUUUUUACAAAUUUAUUUAUUUUUGGCUGCAUUGGGUCUUCGUUGCUGCACGCGGGCUUUCUCUAGUUGUGGCUACUCUUUGUUGCGGUGCGCUGGCUUCUCAUUGCAGUGGCUUCUCUUGUUGCAGAGCACAGGCUCUAGGCAUGCGGGCUUCAGUAGUUGUGGCUCGCGGGCUCCAGAGCGCAGGCUCAGUAGUUGUGGUACACAGGCUUAGUUGCUCCGCAGCAUGUGGGAUCUUCCCGGACCAGGGCUCAAACCUGUGUCCCCUGCAUUGACAGGCGGAUUCUUAACCACUGCACCACCAGGGAAGUCCCUGAAAAUUGGGUUUUUUGCUUGAUUAUUUUGUACAUUUGUGGCAAAUUCAUCUGGCAGCAAAUCCUGAGAGCAAAAACUGACAUGAGACUAUUUUUAGCCUUUAUUUAUCCUACUUCGGGUACAUAUUCAUACAUUUUGAUGUAGAAAUAUUUCCGUUUGAUUUUGAGGUGCUGAGUCAGACCCCAAUGGAGUGAUCAGAAUAUACAGUAUAUUGUACAUCUUACUACUUUAAUGAAAACUGAAAAAUUCUUAAUACCAAAACACAUCUUGCUCCUAAGAUUUUAGGUAAGCAUGGCAGACCUGUAAUUUUUCACUUACCUUAUUUGUUCUGCACAAAAAACUAGGGCAGACAGUAUUGUCCUCAUUUAACAAAUGAAUAAACUGAGGCUCAAAGAAGUUAUAUGACCUGCUAUUUAUCACUGCAUAACAAAUUACUCCAACACUUAAUGGUUUAAGACAAAAAUAAACAUUUAUCGCUCCACACAGUUUCUGUGGAUCAGGGAUUUGAGAGUGGCUUAGUUGAGUGGUUCUGGUUACAGGCCUCUCAUGAAAUUGUAGUCAAGAUGUUGACCAGUUAUCCAGCGUGUUUUAUCUGAAGGUUUGACUGAGGCUGAAGGAUCCACUUCCAAGAUGGCUCACUCACAUGGCUGUUGGCAGGAGGCUUUGGUUUCCUGUCACAUGAAUCUUUCCCUAGGUCUGCUUCAGUACCCUCCCAAUAUGGCAACCAGAUUCCGCCAGAGCAAGUAACCCAAAACAGAGCAGGAUGGAAGCCACAAUGUCUCUUAUGACCUAGACUCACAAGUCACAUUCCAUCAUUUUCAUACUAUUCGACUGGUUACAAAGGUCAGCCUUUCAAAUAUGAGGAAGAACUACAUAAGGACAUAAAUGCCACCCCAAUUAUAUAAUAUUUUGUUUACGUUUUACAGAUGAAGUCUAAGCAACUGGUCCAAGGUUGCAUAGCUCGUCAGAUGCAGAAUAGGACUUGAAGCCAGGCUGACCAGUUCCAGAGUCCAUACUUUUAACUGCGACAUGAUAAUACCUCCUUCAAUUUACUUGACUGUCCUCUAAUAUAUUGGACAUUUAAGUAAAUUCUAGUUUCUUGUUACUAUAAAUCAUACUGAACACUUUCCACAUAAAUCUAUAUCUCCAGCUCCUGUUCUUUUGUUAGGACAAAUGCCUAGAGGCAAAAUUGCCAAGUCAAAAGGUACGAACUUUUUUAAUCCUCUUGACAUAUAUUACAAAAAAUAAUCUCCAGAAAGGAAACACCAAUUAACAAACUCAGUGAAUGUUCCUGUGAAUGCCUGUCUCGCUACAUCCUUGAUACAACUGAAUAUCAUUAUUGUUUAAAUAUGUUAAUUUUAUAGGCUAUAAAUACGUAUAUUGAUUUGCAUUUCUUCAUAUAGUUAUUAUUAUUUAUCUGCACAUUUAGGAGUUUUGGUUGUAAGCAAUAGCAUUUGACUAAUUUAAAGUUUUUUGUAUCCAAAGAAUACAGGUGGCUCAGGGAAUUAAAGGGAAGGUUGGAAAAUAUGGCUUGUAAAGAAAAGGAGACCAGAGCAUGCCGAGGGCUCUAGGCAACAGGAAGGGAUGGAUGGCCUUAAAGGCCACAAUCACUGGAAUGAGUCGGUUUCAACAUUCUAUCCAUCCUUGGGUCAAAGAGCCCAAGCCUGAAUCAUGUAUCUCACCUUAGGUAGGGCAGGGCAAGUUGCCUUGAUUCAACCAAGACAGCACUUAGUGGGGGAGAGGUAAUUACCCAGAAGUAGGUAAAUUGCUGUUACCAAAAGAAGAGAUGGAUCCUUUACAGCUGAAGAGCAAUAAAUGUCUACUACAGGGUUCAAUUUGAUGGCUCCCAAACCCAUGCUGUUAAGUUAAAAAUUCUCUGCUCCUUAUGCUGGCUCAUCGUCUAUUUUUAUUCAUUGGUCAAGUAAAAUAACUUUACUUUGUUUUUAACCUAAGAAGUUCAGCAUCAUUGGAGUCACCACCAUGGACAAGCCAGGGAAGAGUUCUCUUUGGUUGGGAGAAAAGUCUAAAAAUGUAGAAAUGUGGAGAUACGAUGCCUUCAACUUUGCCAAGUAAAAUAACCAAGAACAAAGGGAUUAGACCGGCUCUGGUCUGAAUGUUUGUGACCCCCCCACCCCCACCCCGAUCCCGCCCAAAUUCAUAUGUUGAAAUCUUAAUGCCCUAUGUGAUGGUAUUAGAAGGUGGGGCCUUUGGGAGGUGAUUAAAUACUGAGGGUGGAGCCCUCAUGAAUGGGAUUAAUGGUUUUAUAGAAGAGACCCCAGAUUGCUUCCCAGCCCAAUUUCCAUCCCAUGAAAACUGAUGCGACGAGAAGUCUGCAGCGUAGACGAAGGCCGUCACCUGGCCCUGCUGGCACCCUCAUCUUGGACUUCCAGCCUCCAGAGCUGUGAGAAGGGUUGACAACUGACCCAAGUAGGGUACAGUAGAAAGUCUCCAAAGAUGGCCACCAUUGAUUCCUUUCCUCGCUCUGUGCACAUGCUACUCCUCACACCCAGAAGGGAAGUCUAUUUCGCCUAUGCUUGAAUCUGGGUUGGUCUGAGUGAAUUUUUUGACCAAAGGUAAUGGCAGAAGUGAUGUUGUCUGACAUCAAAGGCUAGGUCAGAAGACCUAGUCCUUAGUCCUUUGUAACAUCUGCCCUUGGAACUCAGCUGCUGUGCUGUGAGGAAGUCAAGCAGCCCGAUGAAGAGGCUCACAUGGCGAGAAACUGAGGUCUCCCCAUUGAUGGUCUGGCUGAGAUCCCCGCUGACAACCAGGAACCACCUACUAAUCAUGUGAAUAUGCCAUCUUGGAAGCGGAUCUUUCAGCAGCACCAGCUGAUGCUGCAUGAGCUACGUCGCUGAGCCCUGCCCAAAUUCCUGACUCGUAAAUCAUGAGAUGAAAUAAAAUCAUUGUUUGGGG